CAGUCGCCACGGUAAUACGUAGGGUGCAAGCGUUAAUCGGAAUUACUGGGCGUAAAGCGUGCGCAGGCGGUUAUAUAAGUCAGAUGUGAAAUCCCCGGGCUCAACCUGGGAACUGCAUUUGAGACUGUAUGACUAGAGGGUGUCAGAGGGGGGUAGAAUUCCACGUGUAGCAGUGAAAUGCGUAGAUAUGUGGAGGAAUACCGAUGGCGAAGGCAGCCCCCUGGGAUAACACUGACGCUCAUGCACGAAAGCGUGGGGAGCAAACAGGAUUAGAUACCCCAGUAGUCCCUGUCUCUUAUAC
rnacentral:rRNA from 1 species